rnacentral:rRNA from 1 species
CAUGUUUAUUUGAAGAUAUAAAUAAUUUGACCUGCCCCCUGAUUAUUAAUUUAAGGGCCGCAGUAUUAUAACUGUGCAAAGGUAGCAUAAUCAUUAGGUUUUUAAUUGAAAUCUUGUAUGAAUGGUCGGACAAAAGAAAAACUCUCUUUAUAUUAAUUUUGAAUUUAACUUUUAAGUGAAAAGGCUUAAAUAAGCUAAAGGGACGAUAAGACCCUAUAAAACUUUACAUUGUAAUUAUAUUUUGAUAAAUUUAGUGAAUAAAAAUAUAAUUUAAUUAUUUGUUAGGCUGGGGAGGCACAGAUAAAUAUAAUUUUAACUGUUUGGUAAUUAUACAAUUAUUAAUGGGUAAUUAAUUAGAUCCUUUAUAAAGAUUAUUAAAUUAAGUUACUUUAGGGAUAACAGCGUAAUUUCUUUUGAGAGUUCUUAUCGAAAAAGAAGAUUGCGACCUCGAUGUUGAAUUAAAAUAUUCUAUAUAAUGAAGAGGUUAUAUAAGAAGGUCUGUUCGACCUUUAAAAUUUUACAUGAUUUGAGUUCAAACCGGUGUGAGCCAGGUU